UACGUAGGGACCGAGCGUUGUCCGGAAUCAUUGGGCGUAAAGAGCGUGUAGGCGGCCACUUAAGUCCUGCGUGAAAUCUUGCGGCUCAACCGCAAGCGGUCGUGGGAAACUGGGUGGCUAGAGUGCGGGAGAGGAGAGUGGAAUUCCUGGUGUAGCGGUGGAAUGCGCAGAUAUCAGGAGGAACACCAAUGGCGAAGGCAGCUCGCUGGGACGGUACUGACGCUGAGACGCGAAAGCGUGGGGAGCAAACAGG
rnacentral:rRNA from 1 species